rnacentral:rRNA from 1 species
UACGUAGGGGGAAGCGUUGUCCGGAUUUAUUGGGCGUAAAGCGUGCGCAGGCGGUUUUGUAAGCCAGAUGUGAAAGCCCCGGGCUCAACCUGGGAAUGGCAUUUGGGACUGCAAGGCUUGAGUGCGGCAGAGGAGACUGGAAUUCCUGGUGUAGCAGUGAAAUGCGUAGAUAUCAGGAGGAAUACCGAUGGCGAAGGCAGGUCUCUGGGCUGACACUGACGCUCAUGCACGAAAGCGUGGGGAGCAAACAGG